rnacentral:rRNA from 1 species
AACGAACGCUGGCGGCAGGCUUAACACAUGCAAGUCGAACGCCCCGCCAGGGGAGUGGCAGACGGGUGAGUAACGCGUGGGAACAUACCCUUUUCUACGGAAUAGCCUUGGGAAACUGGAAUUAAUACCGUAUACGCCCUACGGGGGAAAGAUUUAUCGGGGAAGGGUUGGCCCGCGUGGGAUUAGCUCGUUGGUGGGGUAAAGGCCUACCAAGGCGACGAUCCAUAGCUGGUCUGAGAGGAUGAUCAGCCACAUUGGGACUGAGACACGGCCCAAACUCCUACGGGAUGCAGCAGUGGGGAAUAUAGGACAAUGGCCGCAAGCCUGAACCAGCCAGGCCGCGAGAGUGAUGAAGGCCGUAGGGUUGAAAAGCUCUUUCACCGAUGAAGAUAAUGACGGUAGUCAAAGAAGAAGCCCCGGCUAACUUCGUG